CCUACGGGUGGCAGCAGUGGGGAAUAUUGGACAAUGGGGGGAACCCUGAUCCAGCCAUGCCGCGUGUGUGAAGAAGGCCCUCGGGUUGUAAAGCACUUUCAGUGAGGAAGAACGCCUGGUGGUUAAUACCCAUCAGGAAAGACAUCACUCACAGAAGAAGCACCGGCUAACUCCGUGCCAGCAGCCGCGGUAAUACGGAGGGUGCGAGCGUUAAUCGGAAUUACUGGGCGUAAAGCGCGCGUAGGUGGCUUGAUAAGCCGGUUGUGAAAGCCCCGGGCUCAACCUGGGAACGGCAUCCGGAACUGGCAAGCUAGAGUGCAGGAGAGGAAGGUAGAAUUCCCGGUGUAGCGGUGAAAUGCGUAGAGAUCGGGAGGAAUACCAGUGGCGAAGGCGGCCUUCUGGACUGACACUGACACUGAGGUGCGAAAGCGUGGGUAGCAAACAGGAUUAGAUACCCCUGUAGUC
rnacentral:rRNA from 1 species